rnacentral:misc_RNA from 1 species
AUUUAAUCGGUAUUAGAUCAAAUCCAUACUCCUCCAAGUCCUUGAUAGUGUCCAGCAUCUCACUAAUGAGAGCUGAACUACUAAGUUCAGCAACGGUUAACUUUGGUAUCCUCUCAACAAAAAAUACAUACUUCGUCAUCUUCAGUAAAGCUACUUCCUCUCGUUUUUUCUCCUCAUAUUGUGCUAAAGGUGAAAAAUGUGGAUUUUGCGGAAUUUUUGUAAAUACUUCCAUGGAUUCAAAUUCUCUCCAAAGAGCAGAGUUCUUCUUAAAUGGUAGUACCAACCUCGGCUCACUCCCAGGCAUAGUGGUCUCACUACAUGGUUGGACUGUUGCAGCAGACGCUCCUGCUGAAGUAUUUAUCCCAUCAGUUUUUCUUGAAGAUAACUCAGCUUGAUUUGUUGCAUUCUUUUCAUUAACCGAGUCAUGGAGAGUGCUUUCAAGUACUUGUUUCUCCACGCCUUGUGUCACAGCAAGUGAUCUAUGGGCAGACAGGUCCAUGGUACUUCUUUCGUUGCUUCCCUCAAUAAUUGGAAAUUCAAAAUCACUUAGGUUCGCAUCCUCAUCUCGGGUGUGCUGGAGAGACUGGACACAGGGUGAAAGGAUUCCCACAUCAACCACACUUCCAAAGUAAUCUUGGUUUUCUACAAAAUCAAGUAAUCUUGAUUUUCUCGUAAAUGCCUUCCCAGAUACAAAAGGCCUAGGUAAUUCUUGAUUCUCCAGAGCUUCUACAACAUGUUUUCUACUUCUUAACUUCUUCGGAGGUCGUACCUCAUCAAUCCUAGUAUCUGUUUCCAGUUUCAUCUUAGAAGAGGUUAUUCCCUUGUUAAUAUGAUUUAAUGUAGGACUUGGAGUUCCCAAGUGAAGAGACAUCUUUUCAUGUGGCGG